UACGGUAGGGUGCGAGCGUUGUCCGGAAUUAUUGGGCGUAAAGGGCUCGUAGGCGGUUUGUCGCGUCGGGAGUGAAAUCCACUGGCUUAACUGGUGGCUUGCUUUCGAUACGGGCAGACUGGAGGUAUGCAGGGGAGAACGGAAUUCCUGGUGUAGCGGUGAAAUGCGCAGAUAUCAGGAGGAACACCGGUGGCGAAGGCGGUUCUCUGGGCAUUACCUGACGCUGAGGAGCGAAAGCGUGGGGAGCGAACAGG
rnacentral:rRNA from 1 species